rnacentral:rRNA from 1 species
GACAGAGGGGGCAAGCGUUAUUCGGAAUUAUUGGGCGUAAAGGGCGCGUAGGCGGCCUGACAAGUGGAAGGUGAAAUCCCUCGGCUCAACUGAGGAACUGCCCUCCAAACUGUUUGGCUUGAGACCGGGAGAGGUGAGUGGAAUUCCCAGUGUAGCGGUGAAAUGCGUAGAUAUUGGGAGGAACACCAGUGGCGAAGGCGGCUCACUGGACCGGUACUGACGCUGAGGCGCGAAAGCGUGGGGAGCAAACGGGG